AUAGGUGAGGACUGUAUAGAAGACCAGCUUCUGAGUCUGCACUGCAAUGAGGUUGUCAGAAAGAAAAGGAGUACAGAAAACAUUCUGCUAUUUCUCAGACACUUUUAUUUUUUAUGGCAAUAGAAUGUAGUUUAAAAAUGCUUUCUUUGUGAUGGAUAGCCAUACCUUGACAUCACUCUGUUAUGUUUUUGCAGAUGCAUAGAAUAUCAGAUGUUUGUGAGCCUCUGGGUAGUUCAAAUGAGAGCAUAGUGGAUGAAACUGAUGAGGAUUCCAUGAAAAACUAUUCUGGUGGGCAUUCUGAGCACAACGUUGUUCCAAAGUUGAGAAGGACAAAGAGCUUAUUGGUACGGUUCUGACAGUCUGAAUACAAGUAAUUAUUAUAGUCUAUUUUCAACAAAAUCUUUUUCUUGUAACUGAUUUUUUAAAUGGAUAGUCAUACUUUUUUCUUCCUUUUUCUGAUGGAUAGAAUACCAGAUUUUUCUGAUGCUCUGUUUGAUUCAAAUAAGGACAGCACAGAAGGCCCUUCCUUUAAGUCUGAAAGGGCUUCACGAAGGCUGCAACCCGUAAACAUCUCGUUUUUACUCACUUGUGUUGUCACUUAAAGGGUCAGGGUAAGACUUUAAUACAGAUACGACUCUGGACAUAUAUGUCUGUAAAGUUCAACUUGACUGGUUUGUGGAGGCACAAAGCAUGUGGCAGUUAUCCUUUACAUUACAAGUGACACAUCAAGAUAGGUUUUAAUGUUUCUGUGCCAGCGCAGUAGGCAGUUAACCGUGUAGUAAGAUGGUCAUAUUGAACAGUCAUUUGGAGGUUGAAGUAUUAACUUCAAGACAGCAUCAUUUCAAAUCAUUUCCCCUCAUUCAAAGCCAGACUUUGCUUUACUGACAAUUACUUCAUGUUUUAAGUCAAAAAAUUAUAUAUAUAAAAAUAAUGUUUUUCUGUACCCAGAAGCCAGUGUGUACAAGGAGAGGAUUCAGAAGAUGAGGGCAGUGUGGCACCCCUAUUGGAAUGUACCUCAUCAUCUGCCCAAAACCAAGUGGUGUCAGCAAAAAUGAGAGAAGCCAGUGUGGCACAAGGCGAGGACUCAGAAGAUGAGGACAGUGCGGCAUCCCUGCAAGAAUGUACCUCAUCAUCUGCCCAAAACCAGAUGGUGUGAACAACAAAGAGAGGUAAACAAUCUGCUGUCAAAAGACGUUGGACGCCAGAGGAAUCUGCUGCAGUUUACAGACAUUUAAGGAAAUUCAUAGUGAGAAGCCAAGUUCCCGAAAAAGUGGACUGUGAGCACUGUAUUACUGCAGAACCUCAAGCACUAGGAAACAGAGACUGGAAAGCAGUAAAAUACUUCAAGAAUCUUCUGCCAUCAGAAGAGAACUACAGUGAAUUGCUACUAGAUGUGAGCAGUGUGUGGAUUCUGCUUUAUUCAAACUGUACCUGCCAGCUGUAGCACCACUGGAAAGGGUGGACCCCACAAUUGGGCAAAGAGACAGCAGGCCCCUCAAGUGAGUUACGCGAGUAUGUGUGUGUGUGUGUGUGUGUGUGUGUGUGUGUGUGUGUGUGUGUGUGUGUGUGUGUGUGUGUGUGUGUGUGUGUGUUGCUCCGUGCCGAUGUGUGCGUCGAGCGAGAGAGAGCUGGGAACGGCAGAUAAUUCUGGAGCUAAGUUAGAGGGUUUUUGUAGUUAUUUUGGCGUUGGCUACUACCCACAGUAGCCUGUGUGAAGGUUCAAUAAAUGACCAGAGAACCAGAUGAAGUAUCACUCAUUCAUCACAUUAUUAUUCUGAAAGUCCGUUGCUCACUGAUUCUGAAUACACAGACAGACAAACCAUGGGUGACAGGAGGGCUGGAUGAUGAUCAGUAACUACUUGGGAUGGGCGUCAUCACGUGUCACCCAAACGAACAGUGGAGGGAGGCAUCAGCAGACUGGUUGGAUGCAACGUGUUGGAGAAAUAGAAAUAAACUAAAACAAGACAAACAAACAAAUGCCGCAGUGAAGUAGUUAGCUAUACACUGCAUUCUGAUUAGUAUUGUGGAAGAUGUCCGUCUGAGGAACGUUCUUAGGAUCACAACAAAUGACGGCACAUAUAAACCUCAACCUGCAUCACUGGAAGUUUUAUUGUGUGUGAGAUACAAAUCGGGAUUACAGUCCCCGCCGCAGCGGUCAUAGGUUCGAGUCCGACCCACAGCCAUUUGGUCUUCUCUCCAUGUUCCCUGUCACUCCUCACACACGCUCAUCCAGAUGUGCCUUUUUUUCUCUCUCUUCCUGGAAGAGUUGCUCUGUUGUGUUUAGUAGGGAAAGCAGCAGUUUAGCAGUUAUCUCCAUGUAUUUUAGUGCUUUCUUCGUCUCAUGAUAGAGAUUGGGGGUGUGGUUUUCCACUAGUGUGGGAGAGAUAUUCUUACUUUUUUAUUUUAUUUUUUUAUUUAUUUUUUGUGUGUUUUUUCUCCUUUUUGAUGUCGGGGACACAAACUGCUUAUUUUACUUACUAAAUAAAGAGGACCAAUGCACUCCUGGGCAAACAUGUUUCAUUAGCUGGAAUAUCAAAGGCAUACACAAUUCUAUUAAGUGCAGUAGAGUUUUUAUGCAUUUAAAAACUUUGGGGCCUGACAAUAUUUUUACAAGAGACCCAUCUCCGAACUAACGAACAUUCAAAUUUAAAGAAAGGCUCGACUGACCAAAUACACCACUCCAACUAUGGUGACAGAUCCAGAGGCACAGCCAACCUAAUAAGAAAAGGGGUUCCAUUUGUAUCACUUUCACUUUCUGAUACCAAAGGCAGAUAUGUUAUGGUUAUUGGGAAAUUGUUUGGAUUUGAUGUACCUCUAGUUAAUAUCUAUGGCCCAAAUUGGCAUGACUCACAGUUUUUCUCCAACAUUUUUCAAAAUCUCCCCGAUCCCAACAUCUAUCAAUUAUAGGAGGCGAUUUUAACUUGGUGUUAGAACCUAAUAUGGACAGAUCCAAUCUUAAAACCCCUAACAAGAUUUCCAAAUCCGUAUUUUUU